CCGGGAGCGCACCCUCUGGUGACUUCUCCAUCCCGGCCUCUGGUCCCAGCGGCGGGGGAAGUUCCUGGGACCGGCCGGGUUUAAGAGACUAAGAUGUCUUCACCAGCCACCUCCCCUUCAGCAAGACUCUGAUCACGUUUCUAUAGUGUCAUCCUUCUCUCCCUGGCCUGUGCUUUGAAGGCAGCAGGUUUUCAGAUGUAGUCACUUCUGAAGUUCAUCAUCCAAGUGGGCAUCUUUGACCUGCUCUACUGGACUGACUGCAAAAUGACUCACUCUUGCUGCAACAUGGAAGGAUGGAUUGGAGGGGAAGCAGAAAGGCCAUCAGCCCCACUGUGAACUACUGUGGAAUAGGCAGGGGAGGAUUGCUUCAUGAUCAAAAGAUGGCUGUUGGAGAUCCAGUCUUCGUGUCUCAAACAGGAGGAAGGAGAAAGGGCCAAAUGCAAAUGUUUUCUGUUGUUUUAGGAUCAAAAUAAUGGAAAAGAACAGAAACCAAUUCAACUCAGGAAAUAAUCCAAAGGUGUAAGAAGGACUGUGCUGGGGCUUCCCUGGUGGCACAGUGGUUAAGAAUCCGCCUGCCGGGCUUCCCUGGUGGCGCAGUGGUUGAGAAUCUGCCUGCUAAUGCAGGGGACACGGGUUCGAGCCCUGGUCUGGGAAGAGCCCAUAUGCCACGGAGCAACUGGGCUCGUGAGCCACAACUACUGAGCCUGCACGUCUGGAGCCUGUGCUCCGCAACAAGAGAGGCCACGAUAGUGAGAGGCCCGCGCACCGCGAUGAAGAGUGGUCCCCGCUUGCCACAACUAGAGGAAGCCCUCGCACAGAAAUGAAGACGCAACACAGCAAAAAUAAAUAAAUUAAUUAAUAAAAAACUCCUACCCCCAACAUCUUCUUUAAAAAGAAUCCGCCUGCCAAUGCAAAGGACAUGGGUUCGAGCCCUGGUCCAGGAAGAUCCCACAUGCCACGGAGUAACUAAGCCCGUGUGCCACAACUACUGAGCCUGAGCUCUAGAGCCUGCAAGCCAAACCUACUGAGCCCACGUGCCACAACUACUGAAGCCUGCGUUUACAGCAAAGGAAUCUAUUUCCUGGUUCUCUCUGGGGGAUGAGGCAAUAAGAGACUGAAGUACCACUGCCUUGGGGAGUGGGUGGCAGUUUGCUGCCUGUUGAUGUAAUGCAAACUAAGGCCAGAGGGAGGAAAUGGCCACUUCUGAGGCCACAGGUGGUUAUAGAUUUUCAAGUAAAGGGUGGUUGUAAUUCUCCCACAUGUCCUCCUGGAGAGGGAUGGUGGGGAGAUUCUUGCUCACAGUUUGUUCCCAGAGAAGUUAUGGGUUGGGCUUGGACCUUCUAGAUGCUGCACAGUGGGAAGCCAGAGUCUCAUCGAGUGCUAACAGAGGUCACAGCUCUUGGGAACAGAGGUUGUGACACAGAGGAAACUCCCCCUCCUUCCCUGACCACACCCUGGCUUCUCUCACCCAGUCACACACAUCAUUCCAACAGAGGCAGCUCUGGGCAGGACAUUUGGAAAAGGCAUUAGAGGGGUUGAAACCAUUGCUGUGGUGUCUUCAAGAAUACUCCUUGGGAAACCCAAAGGAAAAAGAGAUAGUGGAGCCAAGAAAAGCUACUAGAACUUUCUUCAGCUUGAGCUGUAGGAUCUUACAACUGAAAACGCUCCUUGGGAUUACCCAGCUCUCAACUUUCACAUUACAAGAAAGAAAACUGAAGGUGCAAAAAUGGCAAGUAGUUGGCCCAACAGGUCAAUGGCAGAAAUGGGAUUGACCUCAGAUCUUUCCACCCUGAUUGGGAGUCUGGCUGCCUUUCUACCCCCUCGCCCAGUGCCAAAAACACCUCCCGAUUCUAAAAGUCUUCUAGUAAAAUCGAUGCUCCAAGAAGAUACCCUGUGUUGACCAGUGACUUUGGAUGUCUUAUAUGUGGAUCCCAGCCUGGAUCUUUGUGUACUCAAGUUUGAGAAGCAUGGAUUAGCCAGGAGUUGGCAAACAUUUUUUUUUUUUUUUUUUUUUUGUAAAGAGCCAGAGAGUAAACGUUUAGGCUUUGUGAGCCAUACUGUUUCUGUUACAAAUACUCAACCCUGUCUUGUAGUGUAUCAAGAGCAGCCAUAGACAAUAUACAAAUGAAUUAGAUGGCUGUGUUCCAGUAAAACUUUAUUUACAAAACAAACAUAUUUGGCCCAUGGCCUGGAUUUGGCCUGCAGGCUGUAGUUAUCAACUCCUGGGUUUGACAAUAAAUGCCCAAGAGAAAUAAGAAAGAAGAGUGGGAGUAGAAAUUCCAUUGAUCAUUGAAGGCUACACAGUAUUUCAAAGAGCAGAGAGGACAUGGCAGCAUUAUUAAUAGAGGGCCAGUAUAGACAAAAGCGAAUAUUUUUAGGUUUACAUAUAGGUAGGAGACAGGAAGGACAGUAAGUAAAUCAGUUUGGCUUGAGGAAGGAACUCAUGUCCAAGAGAAGCAUUCUAAAAUAUCAAGGCUGGAAGGGACUUUGCUGAUUAUUUGCUUCUCAUUGUAUUUCCCAUUGAUGGGGAAAUCGAGGUCAGAAGAGACCCCAGAUCUGGAAAGAAGCUGAAGAGUGGUGUGCCUUGAAUACUAAGAUGUCCGAAGAGAAUUUCCUUUGGGAUGGAGUUAAUUCUCACCCAUUGUAUACCAUUGUGAACUACCCCGUAGAGAUAGUGACAAGACACACCUGGAGCAAUCAACUGGACAAUUGCCAAGGAUCCAGAAACUUUAGCUUCUCCUCCUGCUGUCAACUUGCUCUGUAACCUGGACCAAAUCCUGAGCCCUCCUCUGGUUUUCCCCUUCGUUAAACAAGAAGCACUCAUCCUUGUCCUUCCAUCAGAACCGGUGACCUGUUAUUCUGUCACUUCUCUGCCCCUUUCUCCCACCACCAACAUCAAAGUCAUAAAUGACCGUAGGACCCUGGAGUGGGAGGUGCCACAACUUUGCGUGACCCCGAUAUUCAUUCACUGAUUUGUUUUCCCACUAAUUAUUGACCACUUCCCAUGCACUGGAUGCUGAGGAUAAACAAUGAACGAGGUUUCUAGAUCCUUUGGGGGAUUUACUUCUCAUUGACGUCUGAUCAUUAUAACUCUCUGUGAUCCUCCCUCAGCAAAAACACCCAAUUCUACAGAGUUCUAUAGAAAUAAAAUGGGACUGAAUAACCUAUAAUACAAUUGGACCAAGAUGAUUUUAAGCAUUGUUAAACAGGGUUUGAGAGCACACAAUUGGUGAUGUUUGUGUUUGAAACCCUGGCAA